rnacentral:miRNA from 1 species
AAAGAUGCCACGCUAUGUAGAU